AGUGAACGCUGGCGGUAGGCCUAACACAUGCAAGUCGAACGGCAGCACAGUAAGAGCUUGCUCUUACGGGUGGCGAGUGGCGGACGGGUGAGGAAUACAUCGGAAUCUACUUUUUCGUGGGGGAUAACGUAGGGAAACUUACGCUAAUACCGCAUACGACCUACGGGUGAAAGCAGGGGAUCUUCGGACCUUGCGCGAUUGAAUGAGCCGAUGUCGGAUUAGCUAGUUGGCGGGGUAAAGGCCCACCAAGGCGACGAUCCGUAGCUGGCCUGAGAGGAUGAUCAGCCACACUGGAACUGAGACACGGUCCAGACUCCUACGGGAGGCAGCAGUGGGGAAUAUUGGACAAUGGGCGCAAGCCUGAUCCAGCCAUACCGCGUGGGUGAAGGAGGCCUUCGGGUUGUAAAGCCCUUUUGUUGGGAAAGAAAAGCAGCAGGUUAAUACCCCGCUGUUCUGACGGUACCCAAAGAAUAAGCACCGGCUAACUUCGUG
rnacentral:rRNA from 1 species